rnacentral:rRNA from 1 species
AACGUAGGAGGCAAGCGUUAUCCGGAGUUACUGGGCGUAAAGCGUGCGUAGGCGGGUUGGUAAGUGGGUGGUGAAAGCGCUCGGCUAAACCGGGCGAGUGCCAUCCAGACUGCCAGUCUAGAGGCGGAUAGAGGGGUGCGGAAUUCCGGGUGUAGCGGUGAAAUGUGUAGAGAUCCGGAGGAACACCAGUGGUGCAAACGGCGCCCUGGGUCCGAACUGACGCUGAUGCACGAAAGCCAGGGGAGCAAACGGG